GUCCACGCCGUAAACGAUGGAUGCUAGCCGUUGGACAACUUGCUGUUCAGUGGCGCAGGUAACCCUUUAAGAAUCCCGCCUGGGGAGUACGGUCGCAAGAUUAAAACUCAAAGGAAUUGACGGGGCCCGCACAAGCGGUGGAGCAUGUGGUUUAAUUCGAAGCAACGCGCAGAACCUUACCAGCCUUUGACAUGUCCCGUAUGGAUCGCAGAGAUGCUUUCCUUCAGUUCGGCUGGCGGGAACACAGGUGCUGCAUGGCUGUCGU
rnacentral:rRNA from 1 species